CGGACGGGUGAGUAACGCGUGAGAACAGCCUUCAGGACGGGGAUAACAGAGGGAAACCUCUGCUAAUACCCGAUGUGCCGAAAGGUGAAAGUAAUUCGCCUGAAGAUGAGCUCGCGUCCGAUUAGCUAGUUGGUGGGGUAAGAGCUUACCAAGGCGGCGAUCGGUAGCUGGUCUGAGAGGAUGAGCAGCCACACUGGGACUGAGACACGGCCCAGACUCCUACGGGAGGCAGCAGUGGGGAAUUUUCCGCAAUGGGCGAAAGCCUGACGGAGCAAGACCGCGUGGGGGAAGAAGGCUCUUGGGUUGUCAACCCCUUUUCUCAGGGAAGAAGUUCUGACGGUACCUGAGGAAUAAGCAUCGGCUAACUCCGUGCCUGUUUUUUGCGGUAAGACGGAGGAUGCAAGCGUUAUCCGCAAUUAUUGGGCGUAAAGCGUCCGUAGGUGGCUUUUCAAGUCGGCGGUCAAAGACCGGGGCUUAACUCCGGAAAGGCCGUGGAAAACUGAAAGGCUAGAGAAAGGUAGGGGUAGGGGGAAUUCCCGGUGUAGCGGUGAAAUGCGUAGAGAUCGGGGAAGAACACCCGGUGGCGAAAGCGCCCUACUGGACCUUAUCUGACACUGAGGGACGAAAGCUAGGGGAGCGAAAGGGAAUAGAUACCCCCUGUUAGUCC
rnacentral:rRNA from 1 species